ACUAGUAACGGCCGCCAGUGUGCUGGAAUUCGCCCUUAGCGGAGCGUGUGGUUUAAUUCGACGCGACGCGAAGAACCUUACCAGGGCUUGACAUGACCACCGAUACUCUAGAGAUAGGGUAGCCCUUCGGGGGGUGGCCACAGGUGUUGCAUGGCUGUCGUCAGCUCGUGCCGUGAGGUGUUGGGUUAAGUCCCGCAACGAGCGCAACCCUCGUCGCUAGUUAGGCUGUCUAGCGAGACUGCCGGAAGCAAACCGGAGGAAGGCGGGGAUGACGUCAAGUCAGCAUGGCCCUUACGUCCUGGGCUACACACAGGCUACAAUGGCCGGUACAACGGGUAGCAAGAACGCGAGUUGGAGCUAAUCCCAGCAAAGCCGGUCUCAGUUCAGAUUGCAGGCUGCAACUCGCCUGCAUGAAGGAGGAGUUGCUAGUAACCGCGAAGGGCGAAUUCUGCAGAUAUCCAUCACACUGGCGGCCGCUCGAGCAUGCAUCUAA
rnacentral:rRNA from 1 species